AGCAGCCGCGGUAAUUCCAGCUCCAAUAGCGUAUAUUAAAGUUGUUGCAGUUAAAAAGCUCGUAGUUGAAUUUCGGGGUUAGUAGGUUGGUCAUGCCUCUGGUAUGUACUGGUCUCACUGAUUCCUCCUUCCUGAUGAGCCGUAACGCCAUUAAUUUGGUGUUGCGGGGAAUUUGGACUGUUACUUUGAAAAAUUAGAGUGUUUAAAGCAAGCUAACGCUUGAAUACAUUAGCAUGGAAUAAUGAAAUAGGACGUUCGAUCCUAUUUUGUUGGUUUCUAGGAUUGACGUAAUGAUUAAUAGGGAUAGUUGGGGGCAUUAGUAUUCAAUUGUCAGAGGUGAAAUUCUUGGAUUUAUUGAAGACUAACUACUGCGAAAGCAUUUGCCAAGGAUGUUUUCUAUUAAU
rnacentral:rRNA from 1 species